rnacentral:rRNA from 1 species
GACGAACGCUGGCGGCGUGCUUAACACAUGCAAGUCGAAGAUAGUGGCGAACGGGUGAGUAAUUCGUGGGUAACCUGCCCUCCUUUUUGGGCUACGCCUUGGAAACGGUGUCUAAUACUGAUUAAAGGGGGCUGGGCUCGCGGCCUUUGAGCGUGUUGGUGGGGUGAGGGCCUACCAAGGCGGUGACGGGUGGCCGGGCUGAGAGGGUGACCGGGGACAUUGAGACGGCGAGACCGCCCAGGGUCGGACGGAGGGGAGCAUUUGGGGACAUUGGACAAGGGGAGAAGGCCUGAUGCAGCGACGCUGCGUAGGGGAUGAAGGCUGUAGGGUUGUAAACCUCGUUCGCUAUCGAACGGGUAGGUGGAGAAGAAGCACCGGCUAACUACGUGCCAGCAGCCGCGGUAAUUC